AGAUUGAACGCUGGCGGCAGGCCUAACACAUGCAAGUCGAGCGGCAGCACGGGUACUUGUACCUGGUGGCGAGCGGCGGACGGGUGAGUAAUGCCUAGGAAUCUGCCUGGUAGUGGGGGAUAACGCUCGGAAACGGACGCUAAUACCGCAUACGUCCUACGGGAGAAAGCAGGGGACCUUCGGGCCUUGCGCUAUCAGAUGAGCCUAGGUCGGAUUAGCUAGUUGGUGAGGUAAUGGCUCACCAAGGCGACGAUCCGUAACUGGUCUGAGAGGAUGAUCAGUCACACUGGAACUGAGACACGGUCCAGACUCCUACGGGAGCAGCAGUGGGAAUAUUGGACGAUGGGCGAAAGCCUGAUCCAGCCAUGCCGCGUGUGUGAAGAAGGUCUUCGGAUUGAAAGCACUUUAAGUUGGAGAAGGCAGUUACCUAAUACGUAUCUGUUUUGACGUUACGACAGAAUAAGCACCGGCUAACUCUAGUGCCGCACG
rnacentral:rRNA from 1 species